rnacentral:rRNA from 1 species
UACGUAUGGAGCAAGCGUUAUCCGGGUUUACUGGGUGUAAAGGGAGCGUAGGCGGCAUACCAAGCCUGAUGUGAAAACCCGGGGCCCAACCCCGGGAGUGCAUUGGGAACUGGCAAGCUAGAGUGUCGGAGAGGCAGGCGGAAUUCCUAGUGUAGCGGUGAAAUGCGUAGAUAUUAGGAGGAACACCAGUGGCGAAGGCGGCCUGCUGGACGAUGACUGACGUUGAGGCUCGAAAGCGUGGGGAGCAAACAGG